ACAGGAGUCACUUUGGGGGUUCUUGUUAAAAUGCAGAUUUUGAUUCACUAGACCCUGUGGGGCCUGAAUUCGUGCAUUACUAAUAAAUUUCCAGGUGAUGCCGAU
rnacentral:pre_miRNA from 1 species